CCCAUCUGCUGCUUGGUGGU
rnacentral:siRNA from 1 species